rnacentral:rRNA from 1 species
GACGAACGCUGGCGGCGUGCUUAACACAUGCAAGUCGAACGAUGAUCAGGAGCUUGCUCCUGUGAUUAGUGGCGAACGGGUGAGUAACACGUGAGUAACCUGCCCCUGACUCUGGGAUAAGCGUUGGAAACGACGUCUAAUACUGGAUAUGAUCACUGGCCGCAUGGUCUGGUGGUGGAAAGAUUUUUUGGUUGGGGAUGGACUCGCGGCCUAUCAGCUUGUUGGUGAGGUAAUGGCUCACCAAGGCGACGACGGGUAGCCGGCCUGAGAGGGUGACCGGCCACACUGGGACUGAGACACGGCCCAGACUCCUACGGGAGGCAGCAGUGGGGAAUAUUGCACGAUGGGCGAAAGCCUGAUGCAGCAACGCCGCGUGAGGGAUGACGGCCUUCGGGUUGUAAACCUCUUUUAGUAGGGAAGAAGCGAAAGUGACGGUACCUGCAGAAUAAGCACUGGCUAACUCUGUGCCAGCCGCCGCCGUAA